CAGGUGGUGGCGCUUGCUUGCCAGCUCGGCUGUUUUCUCGGAUUGAACAUGAAUUUGACAUCACUAUAUUCCUCCUCCUCGGAUUGCACAGGCGUGGAACUGGCUUUAAUUUUUUAUGAAACAUAACGUGUAGUGAAAGGUUCUAUUUUGUAUUAACUGAUUUU
rnacentral:lncRNA from 1 species